GGGAAGAGGAGGAGAGGGAGGAGGAGGAGGGAGGUGGCGGCGCCGUGGCGGAGGAGCAGGAGCAGGAGGGGGAUGGAGAGGAGAAGGCUCCUGGGUGGCAUGGCGCUCCUGCUCCUCCAGGCGCUGCCCAGCCCCCUGUCAGCCAGGGCUGAACCCCCGCAGGAUAAGGAAACCUGCGUGGGUACCAACAAUCAAAGCUACAUCUGUGACACAGGACACUGCUGUGGACAGUCUCAGUGCUGCAACUACUACUAUGAACUCUGGUGGUUCUGGCUCGUGUGGACCAUCAUCAUCAUCCUGAGCUGCUGCUGCGUGUGCCACCACCGCCGAGCCAAGCACCGCCUUCAGGCCCAACAGCGGCAACAUGAAAUCAACCUGAUCGCCUACCGGGAAGCCCACAAUUACUCAGCGCUGCCAUUUUAUUUCAGGUUUUUGCCAAACUAUUUACUACCUCCUUAUGAGGAAGUGGUGAACCGACCUCCAACUCCUCCCCCACCAUACAGUGCCUUCCAGCUCCAGCAGCAGCUGCCUGCACAGUGUGGCCCUACAGGCGGCAGCCCCCCGGGCGCCGACCCCACCAGGGGCUCCCAGGGGGCUCAGAGCAGCCCCUUGUCCGGGCCCAGCAGAAGCAGCACGCGACCCCCGAGCAUCGCUGACCCUGAGCCCUCCGACGUGCCAGCAGACCCAGCAGCCACCAAAGCCCCCGGGAUGGAGCCCAGCGGCUCUGUGGCCGGCCUGGGGGAGGUGGACCCUGGGGCCUUCCUGGACAAGGAUUCCGAAUGUAAGGAGGAGCUGCUGAAAGAGUACAGCUCUGAGCAGGGCGGCGCCCUCCCUGACAGCAAAGACAAGACACCCGGCAGACGUCGCCGCUUCACAGGUGACUCGGGCAUCGAGGUGUGUGUGUGCAACCGGGGCCACCAUGAUGAUGACCUCAAAGAGUUCAACGCGCUCAUCGAUGAUGCUCUGGACGGGCCCCUGGACUUCUGCGACAGCUGCCACGUGCGGCCCCCUGGUGACGAGGAGGAAGGGCUCUGCCAGCCCUCCGAGGAGCAGGCCCGGGAGCCCGGGCACCCUCACCUGCCGCGGCUGCCUGCCUGCCUGCUACUGAACACCAUCAACGAGCAGGACUCUCCAAACUCCCAGAGCAGCAGCUCCCUAAGCUAGAGCAGGCCCUGCCUGCGCCCGAGAACUUGGCGACGCAACCAGGGUAGGGGAGAACCAUGAGAGAAGCAUUAAGUGACUGUUCCUUUUUUUUUUCCCCUCUGCUCCUGCGUUUUCCUGCAUCUCCAGGUACAGUUUGGGGUGUGGGUGCCUCACCCCCCAUAGAUACACAGUGUCACGGAGGGCCGAGAAGUUGUCCUGUGACUCAUUCCUCAUACCCCACCCCGUCCCCCUUUACCUCUUUUCAAGUCACGUGUCACUACCUGCUUGGAUCAGAGAGAUGUGCGUUUCAGAAGCCCCCAAGGAGGGGAUGAGACUGUGCUCUGAGGUGACUCUUGGUGACGGAGUGGAUUCAUGUUCUGGUGUGAGUUGAUGAGAACCUCGCCGCGUCUCAAUCAGAGAGGUGGCAGGCCUCAGCCCUGGGUGAAGCCCCAGUGGUCCGGGCAUUGUCGCCUCUCGCUGCCAGUGUCUCCGGAGCUGGAAUUGGGCUCCUCCUGUGGGAGGAUGAGAGCUGACCGGCGAUUGCGUGGCGGGUUGGUAAAGGGCUUGUGCUCUCAAACUCCAGGUGACAAGAUCGAGGUGGCACGAUGUGUCCUGGAGGGGCCCCUUCCCAGCAGGUCCUGGCUGGCCGCAGACUGGUUCAAGUGUGGAAGAUUACACCUGCCUUCUCUUUGGUUUUUUUCUUUAAAAAAAAAAACAACAACGGAAGUGAGCUGAAAAUAAGAACUUGACCAGUGGGCAGGCAAGAAUUCUGUUUUGGAAAAGGAAAAUUUGUGGCUUUUUCCCAACUUGGCCUUCAAAGAGUCCUGGCUACAGUUGAGCCAGAAGGAGAUGUUUUGUGUGCAGGCUCGGGUGGGGGCUAUCUCUGGAACUUCUGUGGGUGAGCAGGAGGCCCUGCGCUGUGGCAGUGGAUAGAGGUGCAGCUUUCCGCAUCUCUGCCCUUUGAUCUGUGCCCACAGGUGAUCAGUACCCUCCCCCAUCCCAAGCACACGUCUGCCGGCCUUCACGUCUCACUGUUCUCUAUGAACAAAUGAGGAGUCUGUGGGACCUGAGAAAGGGCAGUCCCGCAGCCUGACUCUCACACAGUAUUUUCUCUUGAUUCUGAUGUGGAACUCUCCUGCUCACACAGCCCUUUCUACUUUUCAUCCUCACCAGAACCUCAGAUGAUGGCAGCACAGGUGCCAUUCUAACAGGUGUGAGUUGAUACCUCUGCUGUCCUUUUGAAUGAAGACACCUGAUAUCCUGUAACUCUGUAAGGACACACAAGAAGCUCAUGAGGGACUUCCCAGGUGGUACAGUGGUUAAGAAUCCACCUGCCAACACAGGGGACACGGGUUUGGUCCCUGGUCGGGGAAGAUCCCACAUGCGAUGGAGCAACUAAGCCCGUGCGCCACAGCUACUGAGCCUGCGCUUUAGAGCCUGAGAGACACAACUGCUGAAGCCCUUGUGACUAGAGCCCGUGCCCUGCAACAAGAGAAGCCAAUGCAAUGAGAAGCCCACACAUUGUAGUGAAGAGUAGCCCCCAGUCGCCGCAACUAGAGAAAGCCUGCGUGCAGCAACGAAGGGACCUCUGAUCUGUUUAAAUUUGUAGGAGUCAAAAUCAUCCCCUUUGAAAGAACUUAUUCACAGAUGACUCCUGGAGCAACUGAGGAGAAAGAGUAGAGCUUAAAGCUGCCCGAAAGAUGUGGAGAAGUUUAUGAUGGAAGAGAAUUUCAGUUCACUCAAGUGACCUUGGUGAAGUCAGCAAAGAAUGAGCUGAAUUCACUGGAUGCUGUAGACUUGGCUGCAGAUUCAUAUCGUCUCUGCAGCCUUCUCUGAUGGAGGUGUUCUACACCAACCCUUCUGCUGCUACCAUCACCGUCAAGCAGUCCUUCCUGCAACAGAUACUCACUGAGCCUCUAGCACAAAGCCAGGCACUGCUCUCAGGCUGGAAAGGAAGCAAUGAACCAAACAGAUAAAAAUCCCUGCCCGUGUGGAACGUACAUUCUAAUAGGGGAGAAGUGGGGUGCCCUGGAAAUCUCACGUUCAAUUUGAACUUCAUUAUAAUUUAGUUGUUUUGAGUCUAUAUCGAGUCAAGUGACUGUCUAGACUCCUGUGGGAGAUAUUCUGCAAAGAUGGGUACCAACAACUCCUAAACCUGCAGACAUAGGACUACUCUUCCUGUCAAGAGGUAGACUCUAUUUCCUCUCUACCUGAACCUGAGCUGCCCUGUGACUUGAUCAGCAGAAUCAUCAGAAGUGACUGCUGUGCCAGUUCUGGGCCUGGGCCCUAAGAGUCCUGACAGCUCCCACUGCCUGGGAAACCAGGCACCACGUAAAGAAGCUCAGCCUAUCCUGCCAGAGAGGAGGCCGUGCGGAGAGCAGGCCCCGAGGAUGAGAACCGUGGCACUCCGGGUGACAGCCAGCGUGAGGCCGCAGACACGUGAGUGAGGCCACCUCAGACCUUCCAGCCACCAAGUGAACGCAGCCCCGUGAGCGAGCCCAACACACAUCACUGGAGCAGAGAUCACCACCCGUGAUAAAUUCCUGAACUUCGCAUCACCACCAAUAAAAUGCUGCUAGGUCAGGCCGCUCGAAACAUGGUACUACAGGAAGAUGCCAUCUUACACUCAGAAGAU